UGAUAAGUAUAUUGAAGGUUAAAAUAUGAACACCACUUUCAUUUAUACAUUCAGAAACCCUAGUCUCAUAAAAUCAAAAUUUUCCAUGUUGAUAGUAAAUUCGUUCUUUCUCUCUCCUCUUCCACCGUCGCCUCCACCUCCUUCACGGCUCUGCCGUCGUAACUCAUCGAUGCCUCACUCUCCAUCGCCACCAGAUCCGACUCCCUCACUGAUCCCCCCAAAAAACCUCCGACCCAGCAAACCCAAACGGUGGCGAAAAGAUCGACCAAAUACCUAAAAGCAGAACAAUAAAACCAGAUACGAAAACAAGCAACAGCUCAGAUGAUAAUGAAUUUAACGAUGAAUUGUGCGACGCCACCGGGAAGGGCGAGAGACUUGAAGGAUAUGCAUAUGGGUAUGCCGUUUCUUCUUCUUCUCUUCCUUUUUUCUCAAAAUCGGAGAUGAUUUAUUUUCUGAUAGCAGUGAUUGAGCACAAACAUAUUUGGGUUGAUGGGUUUGUCCUUCCUCUUUUCUUUCACUUUCCUUAAUUAGGGAUGAGAGAUGAUAUUUUAUGAGUAAUAGGGCUUCAAGUGGUGGUGAUAAUGGAGUUUUCUAAUCGGUGGUGAUGGUGGAGUUUCUAAUCGGUGGCGGUCCACUGGUGGUGGAGAUAUUUUGGAUUUUUAUGGCAUACUGUUUGUGAAUAUGAUAAAUAAUGGUGUUUUUGUUAGUGAUGGAGUUGGUGGAUCGAUGACGCUGACCUUUCAUUCUCCCAUUUGAAUAUGAGUUUGUAUUUACUUUAAGAUUAAGUUAAAUUGAUUAGCUUGAUCAUAUUGGGUUUUUUAUUUUGAUUAAUUAAUUAAUUUUGUUUGGUCCAGACUAAAUGGGUGAGAAACUGAUUUGGUUUGAUUUUAUUAAUU
rnacentral:lncRNA from 1 species